rnacentral:lncRNA from 1 species
AUGUUUUCAGUCAAUCCUUGUGGAAUAUCCGUUAUUCUGAGGCUGGCCAUGGCAGAUCUUCCCCCGCCUCCCACCAGCGGCCGUGCAAACACCACCACCCCUGCCCCACCUCCUGUUCCCCACUUCCUGGGAAGCAGGCAACUCCAGUGCCAACUGGAGAAGUCACCUCCCGUGGGCCUGCAAUGCCCUCCUCAGAACCAAGGGCAGGAGGCCCUGGCAACCCGGCUUGGGGCACGGAGAGGCCUGCCCAGAGAGAGCCAGCGAAUAGGCCUAUUGGUUCUACCUGGGGAGUCCGGGGCCUGUGGAGGGGAACAGUCCCUCACUGAGCUGAGGGUGGGGCUCCAGCUUCCUGACAAGCUGGGGCCUGGAGUCCUGUGCUCGGUGGCUGGGUGCCCUGCAACCCACAGCCGGCUGGCUCAUAAGACUUUCUGCUUGGAGCAGCAGGGACUGCCUUGUUUUCUGAAAGGACUCAGGUACCAUCGUGGUACCUCCUUAUGA